rnacentral:rRNA from 1 species
UGAAUACGAGACGCUAAGGCGUCGAAGUAGUGUAUGUCAUACUUCCAAGAAAAGCUUGCACUGUCAUAGAUAAAAAACGCCUGUACCAUAACCGACACAGGUGGGUAGGUAGAGUAUACUAAGGGGCGCGAGAUAACUCUCUCUAAGGAACUCGGCAAAAUAACUCCGUAACUUCGGGAGAAGGAGUGCCUUAUUCGUAAGGUUGCAAUAACAAGAUCCAAGCAACUGUUUAUCAAAAACACAGGUCUCCGCUAAGUCGUAAGACGAUGUAUGGGGGCUGACGCCUGCCCAGUGCCAGAAGGUUAAAGAAGUUGGUUAGCAAUUGCGAAGCUGAUAACUGAAGCCCUGGUGAACGGCGGCCGUAACUAUAACGGUCCUAAGGUAGCGAAAUUCCUUGUCGGGUAAGUUCCGACCCGCACGAAAGGCGUAAUGAUUUGGAUACUGUCUCGGAGAGGGGCUCGGUGAAAUAGACUUGUCUGUGAAGAUGCGGACUACCUGCACCAGGACAGAAAGACCCUAUGAAGCUUUACUGUAACUUGAAAUUGAAAUUGGACUUUAUUCGCGCAGUAUAGGUGGGAGGCGUUGAUUAUAAUCUUGUGGGAUUAUUGGAGCCAUCAGUGAGAUACCACUCUUGUAAUGUUAGAUUUCUAACUUUGAAUCAUUAUCUGGUCAAAGAACAGUUUCAGGCGGGCAGUUUGACUGGGGCGGUCGCCUCCUAAACGGUAACGGAGGCGUACGAAGGUUUCCUCUGAACGGUUAGAAAUCGUAUCUAGAGUGUAAAGGCAUAAGGAAGCUUGACUGUGAGACCUACAAGUCGAGCAGGGACGAAAGUCGGUCUUAGUGAUCUGACGGUACUGAGUGGAAAGGCCGUCACUCAACGGAUAAAAGUUACUCUAAGGAUAACAGGCUGAUCUCCCCCAAGAGUUCACAUCGACGGGGAGGUUUGGCACCUCGAUGUCGGCUCAUCGCAUCCUGGGGCGGUAGUACGUCCCAAGGGUUGGGCUGUUCGCCCAUGAAAGCGGUACGCGAGCUGGGUUCAGAACGUCGUGAGACAGUUCGGUCCAUAUCCGGUGUAGGCGUUAGAAUAUUGAGAGGAGCCUUCUUUAGUACGAGAGGACCGAGAAGGACAUACCUCUGGUGUACCAGUUAUCGUGCCAACGGUAAACGCUGGGUAGCUAUGUAUGGAGUGGAUAACCGCUGAAAGCAUCUAAGUGGGAAGCCCACCUCAAGAUAAG